rnacentral:rRNA from 1 species
CCUACGGGAGGCAGCAGUGCGGAAUAUUGGUCAAUGGGCGAGCGCCUGAACCAGCCAAGUCGCGUGAGGGAUGAAGGAUCUAUGGUUUGUAAACUUCUUUUGUAUGGGAAUAACGUGAGGAACGUGUUCCUUUUUGUAUGUACCCUAUGAAUAAGCAUCGUCUUACUACGUGCCAGGAGCCGCGGUAAUACAGAGGAUGCGAGCGUUAUCCGGUAGUAUUGGGUUUUAAGUGUGCGGAAGUGGGAAUUUAAGUUAGGGGGGAAAGUGUGUGGCUCAAACAUAGACUUGCCGUUGAAACUGUUUGACUGGAGUAUAUGUGAGGUAGGCGGAAUGCGUGGUGUAGCGGUGAAAUGCAUAGAUAUCACGCAGAACUCCGAUUGCGAAGGCAGCUUACUAAACUAUAACUGACACUGAAGCACGAAAGCGUGGGGAUCAAACAGGAUUAGAUACCCCAGUAGUC